rnacentral:tRNA from 1 species
AGGGAGUAGUUUAAAAAAUAACAAAUUUGGAAUUUGUAGAUCACUAUUGUGUUUCCUG